rnacentral:rRNA from 1 species
GACGAACGCUGGCGGCGCGCCUAACACAUGCCAGUCGAACGGAGUCAAGAGGAGCUUGCUUUUCUUGACUUAGUGGCGAACGGGUGAGUAACGCGUGAGUAACCUGCCCUGGAGUGGGGGACAACAGUUGGAAACGACUGCUAAUACCGCAUAAGCCCACGGAUCUGCAUGGAUCUGCGGGAAAAGGAUUUAUUCGCUCUAGGAUGAACUCGCGUCCAAUUAGCUAGUUGGUGCGGUAACGGCCCACCAAGGCGACGAUUGGUAGCCGGACUGAGAGGUUGAACGGCCACAUUGGGACUGAGACACGGCCCAGACUCCUACGGGAGGCAGCAGUGGGGGAUAUUGCACAAUGGGGGAAACCCUGAUGCAGCGACGCCGCGUGGAGGAAGAAGGUUUUCGGAUUGUAAACUCCUGUCGUUAGGGACGAUAAUGACGGUACCUAACAAGAAAGCACCGGCUAACUACGUG